AUUGAACGCUGGCGGAAUGCUUUACACAUGCAAGUCGAACGGCAGCACGGACUUCGGUCUGGUGGCGAGUGGCGAACGGGUGAGUAAUGUAUCGGAACGUGCCCAGUCGUGGGGGAUAACGUAGUGAAAGUUACGCUAAUACCGCAUACGAUCUAUGGAUGAAAGCGGGGGAUCGCAAGACCACGCGCGAUUGGAGCGGCCGAAAUCAGAUUAGGUAGUUGGUGGGGUAAAGGCCCACCAAGCCAACGAUCUGUAGCUGGUCUGAGAGGACGACCAGCCACACUGGAACUGAGACACGGUCCAGACUCCUACGGGAGGCAGCAGUGGGGAAUUUUGGACAAUGGGCGAAAGCCUGAUCCAGCCAUUCCGCGUGCAGGAUGAAGGCCCUCGGGUUGUAAACUGCUUUUGUACAGAACGAAAAGGUUUCUACUAAUACUAGGAGCUCAUGACGGUACUGUAAGAAUAAGCACCGGCUAACUACGUGCCAGCCGCCGCCGUAA
rnacentral:rRNA from 1 species